GGGUGAGUAACACGUAUGGAACCUGCCCGUAGCAGGGGGAUAAGCGGAAGAAAUUCCGUCUAAUACCGCGUAAUAACUCCGAGAGGCAUCUCCUGGGGUUUAAAGGGUAACACCGGCUACGGAUGGCCAUGCGGCGCAUUAGCUAGUUGGCGGGGUAACGGCCCACCAAGGCGACGAUGCGUAGGGGUUCUGAGAGGAAGGUCCCCCACACUGGUACUGAGACACGGACCAGACUCCUACGGGAGGCAGCAGUGAGGAAUAUUGGUCAAUGGGCGCGAGCCUGAACCAGCCAAGUCGCGUGAGGGAAGACGGUCCUAUGGAUUGUAAACCUCUUUUGUCGGGGAGCAAAAGACGCCACGCGUGGCGUUCCGAGAGUACCCGAAGAAAAAGCAUCGGCUAACUCCGUGCCAGCAGCCGCGGUAAUACGGAGGAUGCGAGCGUUAUCCGGAUUUAUUGGGUUUAAAGGGUGCGCAGGCGGAAGAUCAAGUCAGCGGUAAAAUUGAGAGGCUCAACCUCUUCGAGCCGUUGAAACUGGUUUUCUUGAGUGGGCGAGAAGUAUGCGGAAUGCGUGGUGUAGCGGUGAAAUGCAUAGAUAUCACGCAGAACUCCGAUUGCGAAGGCAGCAUACCGGCGCUCAACUGACGCUCAUGCACGAAAGUGUGGGUAUCGAACAGGAUUAGAUACCCUGGUAGUCCACACAGUAAACGAUG
rnacentral:rRNA from 1 species